rnacentral:lncRNA from 1 species
AAAAGAUCUAAAUUUAUUUUCUUGAUACUUAGAAAUGUAAUUUAAAGUUCUUUGAUACAUUAUUUUUUUCUCUCGUUUAUAUCCAAAAUGCCUGCGAGCAACUUAGACAAUCAUGAUAAAAUAUUUUGGAUUUAUAUCAGCAUGGUAGCAAGCAAGACUGCCUUCUUACCACGAUGGAUUUCUUCCACCUGGGUCAAUCACUUGAUGUGACUCUCACUGGCAACAUUAGCAGUGGAUUUUGGAUGCUUAGGGGCCAUAAUAAACAAAAUAACACAAGAUUAAAUCAAGCACAAGAGAGAAUGAUGCAAUCAAGAGACGGUAAACACAAG